GACGAACGCUGGCGGCGUGCCUAAUACAUGCAAGUAGAACGCUGAAGGAGGAGCUUGCUUCUCUGGAUGAGUUGCGAACGGGUGAGUAACGCGUAGGUAACCUGCCUGGUAGCGGGGGAUAACUAUUGGAAACGAUAGCUAAUACCGCAUAAUAGUAGAUGUCGCAUGACAUUUGCUUAAAAGGUGCAAUUGCAUCACUACCAGAUGGACCUGCGUUGUAUUAGCUAGUUGGUGAGGUAACGGCUCACCAAGGCAACGAUACAUAGCCGACCUGAGAGGGGGAUCGGCCACACUGGGACUGAGACACGGCCCAGACUCCUACGGGAGGCAGCAGGAGGGAAUCUUCGGCAAUGGACGGAAGUCUGACCGAGCAACGCCGCGGGAGGGAAGAAGGUUGUCGGAUCGUAAAGCUCUGUUGUAAGAGAAGAACGAGUGUGAGAGUGGAAAGUUCACACUGUGACGGUAUCUUAACAGAAAGGGACGGCUAACUACGUG
rnacentral:rRNA from 1 species